GGGUCAGCAGGUUGGUCGUGCCACUGGUAUGAACUGGCCUUGCUGAUUCCUCCUUCUUGAAGAACCGUGAUGCCAUUAAUUUGGUGUUGCGGGGAAACAGGACUGUUACUUUGAAAAAUUAGAGUGUUUAAAGCAGGCUCACGCUUGAAUACAUUAGCAUGGAAUAAUAAAAUAGGACGUUUAUCCUAUUUUGUUGGUUUCUAGGGUUGACGUAAUGAUUAA
rnacentral:rRNA from 1 species